rnacentral:rRNA from 1 species
AUUGAACGCUGGCGGAAUGCUUUACACAUGCAAGUCGAACGGCAGCACGGGGGCAACCCUGGUGGCGAGUGGCGAACGGGUGAGUAAUACAUCGGAACGUGCCCAGUCGUGGGGGAUAACGUAGCGAAAGUUACGCUAAUACCGCAUACGAUCUAUGGAUGAAAGCGGGGGACCGUAAGGCCUCGCGCGAUUGGAGCGGCCGAUGUCAGAUUAGGUAGUUGGUGGGGUAAAGGCCUACCAAGCCGACGAUCUGUAGCUGGUCUGAGAGGACGACCAGCCACACUGGGGCUGAGACACGGCCCAGACUCCUACGGGAGGCAGCAGUGGGGAAUUUUGGACAAUGGGCGCAAGCCUGAUCCAGCCAUUCCGCGUGCAGGACGAAGGCCUUCGGGUUGUAAACUGCUUUUGUACGGAACGAAAAAGCUCUUGUUAAUACCAGGAGUCCAUGACGGUACCGUAAGAAUAAGCACCGGCUAACUACGUGCCAGCCGCCGCGGUAA